ensembl:lncRNA
AUGUAUGUACAACCUCUGAAUUUGUGUGUAGGGGCAGAGAUAAUAUAUCAGAUGAACCAGUGCCUUGAACAUCUCAAUGAACCGGUGCUUCAGCUUGAGGAGUAUUUGGAUGUUGUAGGAUUAUCUACUCUGUUCCCUCGAGUGGAAGUUUAUAUGAUACAUGGAAGCCCUGUUGACAUGUUGGAAAGACCACCUUCAGAUGUUUAUUUUCCUCAUAUUGGGAGGCUGAAUCAGCUGCUGGUUCUCAGUCAGCAGUUAGAUGAAGAUGUGAAGCAUCUGGGCAGUCAUAAGUACGUCGCACAUCAGCUAUCAGCAAUUUACGUGAGUUUGUUUGACUUGAUCUUCAUUCAAAUCAUUAUAUCUAUGUGA